rnacentral:rRNA from 1 species
UUUAUGGAGAGUUUGAUCCUGGCUCAGAGUGAACGCUGGCGGCGUGCCUAAUACAUGCAAGUCGAACGAUGAAGCUUCUAGCUUGCUAGAAGUGGAUUAGUGGCGCACGGGUGAGUAACGCAUAGGUCAUGUGCCUCUUAGUUUGGGAUAGCCGUUGGAAACGAUGAUUAAUACCAGAUACUCCCUACGGGGGAAAGAUUUAUCGCUAAGAGAUCAGCCUAUGUCCUAUCAGCUUGUUGGUAAGGUAAUGGCUUACCAAGGCUAUGACGGGUAUCCGGCCUGAGAGGGUGAACGGACACACUGGAACUGAGACACGGUCCAGACUCCUACGGGAGGCAGCAGUAGGGAAUAUUGCUCAAUGGGGGAAACCCUGAAGCAGCAACGCCGCGUGGAGGAUGAAGGUUUUAGGAUUGUAAACUCCUUUUGUUAGAGAAGAUAAUGACGGUAUCUAACGAAUAAGCACCGGCUAACUCCGUGCCAGCAGCCGCGGUAAUACGGAGGGUGCAAGCGUUACUCGGAAUCACUGGGCGUAAAGAGCGCGUAGGCGGGAUAGUCAGUCAGGUGUGAAAUCCUAUGGCUUAACCAUAGAACUGCAUUUGAAACUACUAUUCUAGAGUGUGGGAGAGGUAGGUGGAAUUCUUGGUGUAGGGGUAAAAUCCGUAGAGAUCAAGAGGAAUACUCAUUGCGAAGGCGACCUGCUGGAACAUUACUGACGCUGAUUGCGCGAAAGCGUGGGGAGCAAACAGGAUUAGAUACCCUGGUAGUCCACGCCCUAAACGAUGGAUGCUAGUUGUUGGAGGGCUUAGUCUUUCCAGUAAUGCAGCUAACGCAUUAAGCAUCCCGCCUGGGGAGUACGGUCGCAAGAUUAAAACUCAAAGGAAUAGACGGGGACCCGCACAAGCGGUGGAGCAUGUGGUUUAAUUCGAAGAUACACGAAGAACCUUACCUAGGCUUGACAUUGAGAGAAUCCGCUAGAAAUAGUGGAGUGUCUAGCUUGCUAGACCUUGAAAACAGGUGCUGCACGGCUGUCGUCAGCUCGUGUCGUGAGAUGUUGGGUUAAGUCCCGCAACGAGCGCAACCCCCUUUCUUAGUUGCUAACAGGUCAUGCUGAGAACUCUAAGGAUACUGCCUCCGUAAGGAGGAGGAAGGUGGGGACGACGUCAAGUCAUCAUGGCCCUUACGCCUAGGGCUACACACGUGCUACAAUGGGGUGCACAAAGAGAAGCAAUACUGCGAAGUGGAGCCAAUCUUCAAAACGCCUCUCAGUUCGGAUUGUAGGCUGCAACUCGCCUGCAUGAAGCUGGAAUCGCUAGUAAUCGCAAAUCAGCCAUGUUGCGGUGAAUACGUUCCCGGGUCUUGUACUCACCGCCCGUCACACCAUGGGAGUUGUGUUUGCCUUAAGUCAGGAUGCUAAAUUAGCUACUGCCCACGGCACACACAGCGACUGGGGUGAAGUCGUAACAAGGUAACCGUAGGUGAACCUGCGGUUGGAUCACCUCCUUUCUA